rnacentral:tRNA from 1 species
GCCCAGGUGGUGGAACUGGUAGACACGCAGGACUUAAAAUCCUGUGGCCAUUGCGGCCGUAUCGGUUCGAUUCCGAUCCCGGGUA